GACGAACGCUGGCGGCGUGCUUAACACAUGCAAGUCGAGCGGAGCGGCGAACGGGUGAGUAACGCGUGAGUAACUGCCCCCCUCUCUGGGAUAACAGUUGGAAACGGCUGCUAAUACAGGAUAGUGGGGGAUGAGUCGUGUCCUAUCAGCUUGUUGGUGGGGUAGUGGCCUACCAAGGCGACGACGGGUAGCCGGCCUGAGAGGGCGACCGGCCACAGGGGGCUGAGAUACUGCCCAAACUCCUACGGGAGGCAGCAGGGUGGACUAUUGCACACUGGGGGAAACCCUGAGGCAGCAACGCGCGUGCGGGAGGACGGCCUUCUGGUUGUAAACCGCUUUCAGCCAUGACGCGGUAGUUGCAGAAGAAGCACCGGCUAACUACGUGCCAGCAGCCGCGGUAAUUC
rnacentral:rRNA from 1 species